rnacentral:rRNA from 1 species
UACAGAGGGUGCGAGCGUUUGUCCGGAAUCACUGGGCGUAAAAGGGCGCGUAGGCGGUUUGGCAAGUCUAUGGUGAAAGCUCGUCGCUCAACGACGAGUCGGCCACGGAUACUGCUGAACUGGAGCACUGUAGAGGCAGGUGGAAUUCCGGGUGUAGCGGUGGAAUGCGUAGAGAUCCGGAAGAACACCCGGUGGCGAAGGCG